rnacentral:rRNA from 1 species
UACGAAGGGGGCUAGCGUUGUUCGGAAUUACUGGGCGUAAAGGGCGCGCAGGCGGUCCUUCAAGUCAGAGGUGAAAGCCCAGAGCUCAACUCUGGAAUGGCCUUUGAGACUAGAGGACUUGGGUACGGGAGAGGUGAGUGGAAUUCCGAGUGUAGAGGUGAAAAUUCGUAGAUAUUCGGAAGAACACCAGUGGCGAAGGCGGCUCACUGGCCCGUUACCGACGCUCAGGCGCGACAGCGUGGGGAGCAAACAGGG